CCCAUCAUCUUCACUGCCCAGGGGAGAAGCUCCAUGGGAUGCCUUUGUGAUGACUGUAUCUUCAGACAGACCCAAGGAAAAUGACGUUUCUUGAAAGAUCACUGGCAACAUCUCUUUAAAAUGACCCAUUUCGAGGGUCCCGCAAAAUACACAACUACACCGAGGUCGGCAGUAGUUUUGCCCGUAUAAAAUAUGGCGGAAAGCUUUCUGGUCUCUAAGGAAACAUUACGUAGUCAAAGCGGUGGAUUACACUGCGCACGCGUAGGGGCACGCGCCACAGGAAGUCGUGAUGACCCAACCACAGCGCGUGAUUUAGAACGCGUGCGCAGUAGGCUCAGCUGGCGGCUGUGUUGUGAAAAUGGUGGAGAAGAAAACUUCGGUUCGCUCCCAGGACCCUGGACAGCGGCGGGUGCUGGACCGGGCGGCCCGGCAACGCCGCAUCAACAGGCAGCUCGAGGCCUUGGAGAAUGACAACUUCCAGGACGACCCCCACGCAGGGCUCCCCCAGCUCGGCAAGCGGCUGCCUCAGUUUGAUGAUGAUGCAGACACUGGAAAGAAAAAGAAGAAAACUCGAGGUGAUCAUUUUAAACUUCGCUUCCGAAAAAACUUUCAGGCCUUGCUGGAGGAGCAGAACCUGAGUGUGGCUGAGGGCCCCAACUACCUGACGGCCUGUGCAGGACCCCCAUCCCGGCCCCAGCGCCCCUUCUGUGCUGUCUGUGGCUUCCCCUCCCCCUACACCUGUGUCAGCUGCGGCGCCCGGUACUGUACUGUGCGCUGCCUGGGCACCCACCAGGAGACCAGGUGCCUGAAGUGGACUGUAUGACCCUAGGCGUCCACAGAGAGGAAGGCCUUGCAUCACCUGGCCUCGGAGAGGGCAUCACCGAAAGGAAAGGCGCUCCCCCUGGACCAAGAGAGGAGCCCAACGAAGCUCGUGUCCUGUCCUCUAGGGAAGACCAGUCUUGCUCCCAGGGACUGUGGCAGGGCAGUGGGCCGAGCCCUCAGAGCGCUGUUGUAAUAAAAGCCACCUCCCAGAAAUUGUGAGGAUUAAAUGAGACUGUACCAAGCCCAGUGCCUGGCGUCUGGCUGUAAGCUCUGGAGGGCAGAAACUCUCACCUUUGGAGUCCCUCCCACUGCCUGGCUCCUAGUGCGGGCUCAAGAAACAUUGCUGAUGGACUGAUUUGUAACCAAGGGAUCUGCUCUCCCCACCCCGUACCAGAGAGGGCCAGCAUGGACGGAAACUCCCAGCAGUUGUAGACUCCAAGGGAGUCGGUGGCACAGCUGUACCAGAGGUUCUCGAAGAUGGUGCUGGUGGUGAUGACGUUCCCGUGCACGGUGGACACUCGCCAGCUGCUGUGUGUCAGGGUCACCCCUAGCAUCAGCAGCCCCAGGGCUGCGAUGAAGAAGCCGAAGAUCUCCACAGCCACCGACAUGGUGGGACACAGGCCCCGGGGGGAGCCUGGGGCCCCAGAGAAGGGGAGGGGCUGAGCCCCAGGGGAACUUGAAGGGGCUUUGGCUAAGGACGGCGGUUAAGGCAGGCUGGGGAGAGAGAGGGAGGCAGCCUGCAGCCUCUGCCUCUUCCUUGGCCCAGGUCUGUCUCUGGUUGGUCUCUUCCCUCUCUCUGGGUCUCUCCGCUUCCCUGCAGGUCGGUCAGAGGAGUGAGACAAGAGUGCACGGCAGCUGUUGAAGAGGAGAUGGACGGAAUAAACGAAACGGGCCAAAAGUC